AUUGAACGCUGGCGGCAUGCCUUACACAUGCAAGUCGAACGGCAACGGGCCUUCGGGUGCCGACGAGUGGCGAACGGGUGAGUAAUACAUCGGAACGUGCCCGAUCGUGGGGCAUAACGAGGCGAAAGCUUUGCUAAUACCGCAUACGAUCUACGGAUGAAAGCUGGGGACCGCAAGGCCUUGCGCGGACGGAGCGGCCGAUGGCAGAUUAGAUAGUUGGAGGGAUAAAAGGUUACCAAGCCGACGAUCUGUAGCUGGUCUGAGAGGAUGAUCAGCCACACUGGGACUGAGACACGGCCCAGACUCCUACGGGAGGCAGGAGUGGGGAAUUUUGGACAAUGGGCGGAAGCCAGGUCCAGCCAUGCCGCGUGCAGGAUGAGGGCCUUCGGGUUGUAGACUGCUUUUGUACGGAAGGAAAAGCCUUCUUUUAAUACAGGAGGGUCAUGACGGUACCGUAAGAAUAAGCACCGGCUAACUACGUG
rnacentral:rRNA from 1 species